AUUGAACGCUGGCGGCAGGCCUAACACAUGCAAGUCGAACGAGUGGCGGACGGGUGAGUAAUGUCUGGGAAACCGCCCGAUGGAGGGGGAUAACUACUGGAAACGGUCGAUAAUACCGCAUACCAUCGGAUGUGCCCAGGUGGGAUUAGCUAGUAGGUGGGGUAACGGCUCACCUAGGCGACGAUCCCUAGCUGGUCUGAGGGGAGGACCAGCAACACUGGAACUGGGACACGGUCCAGACUCCUACGGGAGGCAGCAGGGGGGAAUAUUGGACAAGGGGCGGAAGCCUGAUGCAGCCAUGCCGGGUGUAUGAAGAAGGCCUUCGGGUUGUAAAGGACUUUCAGCGGGGAGGCGGUACUCGCAGAAGAAGCACCGGCUAACUCCGUGCCAGCAGCCGCGGUAAUAC
rnacentral:rRNA from 1 species